CCAGUCCUUGUUGUACCCAUUAAUGCCGAGCGCCAGGCAGGGACCAACAAGUACCAUAUUUUAACGUCUUAUGACGCGGUCGGGGACAUGGAGAGAAAAUAGUCAUAGCAUGUCCAUUAACAUACAAAAUCGCAUUGCUCUCUCUCCAUCUCUGCUAUAUUUUGAAUAAUGCUUUUGUUAUAUGAUGUUAUUAACAUUUCAAAUGGAUGUGAUGUCAUUGGUCUUGAUUAGUUGAUAAGUCAAACUGACAUAAUCAUGAUAUUGGGGUGUGAUAUCUCUCAUACACUGGGGCCAGUGCAGCUUAGACCUAUGUGGUUGUCGGAGGUAACAAUGAAUUGGGUAGUCAGGUUGUCAAGUCUUACCAUGUCUUUAGAUUUACCCAUCUUAGCUUAGCUAAACCAAGGUUUCCAAGUGGUGUGAGCCAAUCAAACAUGCUGUUUCAUCUAUGCAUACUGCAAAGCUCCUGACAGGGACAGCUAUGAAAGUGGCACACUGUGAUGUGGAGCCUGCUCUAAAACAUAUCAGUCAGGUUUAUUGUCUCAGUGCAAACAAGCUUGCAAGUGACUUUCAUUGACAGAUGAUUUGUCAUACUUUGUUUAAUGUGGGUGUAUUGCUUACGAUAUAAGGUUAUAUUGUAAUUAGAAUCAUGCACCAAAUUGCUGCCCACACUUGAUCAUCCUUGUGUCAUGACUGUUCUGUAUGUGGCAAUACCACACUAAAAAUAACACUGCCUCAAUCAGGGCAAGUUUUGAUAUGGAGAAGUCAUGGGAAUCUGUUCAUAUAUUUUCAUAAUCAACAAAUUUGACAGAUUUGAGUACUAAAAAAUGUCAUCUUGAGAUAAUAUUUGUGUAUAAAUAUGCAUCAUGACCUAUAUACACGUCAGUUUUACUUGUGAAUGUAUGCUCAAAAUAGCCAGUAAGUCAAGCAUCACAAAAGUAACACGAAGACAAAAAGAGUUUUUAUUCUGGUUUGUAACAAGUUCCAGAUAUUAUCCAGGUUGGUAGUUAAUGUUUCUUGAUGGUAUGGCUGUUUUUGUUUGUUUUUAUGAAGAAAAACAACAAAAACCAACACCCCAGCUCUCACUUGGCCAACAGGGCCCCGGGAGAACACCAGCCUCCUAAGGGAAUGCUCUAAUACCAUGACAACUGUUGUAUUCAACAGAAAACAAUGGCUUCCUUAACUAUUCCAGAUGAAUGUUUGUUGAUUUUGGAUGUGAGCUCGAUGUAAUUGUAUGUUGCAUAACCUGUUUAUUGUUAUUAACAUGAAUAACAUUAUAUUUUGUAAUUUGUUAUGUAUUAAGUAAUUGCCUGAAGGACGAUCAAUCAUAAAUUUACAAGUGAGAUGAUCAAAUAUUUGAGUUAAGUCAUUUUCAUAAUUGUUAAUAUUUUCAAGGGUCACAGCUACUCGCUUUCAUUUUGUUUUUGAUUCAAAAUACGGUUAUCAGCAGGAAAAAGCUGUGAAAGGCUGGAAUCUACUUUUAACUCAUUUUACUGUUCAAAAUAUUUGGGACAAAAGAUAAUGUUCCAUUACAAUGGAUGCUAUAUGUCUAGCAAGUACAGCCAUGGAUGUCAUGUUUCUUCAGACAGAGGCCUACAUUGACAAUGACUGUAUAAACAUGGUGAUAUACUACCCAGGUUUAGGUCAUGGACUUUGAGUGCAGUGUAAGGUCUUGGACUCAAAUCAAAUGGCAGACUACUCGUUGUGUCGUUUUGUGAUUUAUUUUGGAACUGGGUUACUUUUGCCAUUGUUUAUUUGUUUACAUUGUGUAUAUGUUAAAUUCAGUCUCCUCAGCUGGUUAACCAACAUCUGGAUAUAUUUCCAACCCGCAUCCUCACCCUAGCGCCCUAGUGUUAUCCGACAUCAACUCGGACAUGUAGACAGAAGUCGCAGUGUGAAAAACUAACGCAUUCAUCGUUUUAGCUGUAUUGCAGAAAGUGGCUUUGACCAUGACCUUGCCUUGUGUGACACUUAAUGUGACCAUGAACUUUGCAUAUUUCCCUUCGAAAGGGCAGUGGACACCAAACGAUCGCAGAUACACAUAAUUAGAACGAACAUCUGUGAUAUAUUUGACCUUGUGUGAGACUGAUGUGACCUUGAACCUUUUAUGCAAAUUGAAGGGCAAUAGAAACGGCAGCAAAAAACACAACCGGAGAUAUGCAUGAUAAAAACUAUCACCUGUGAUACACUCAUUGAUGGAGUUCUAUUGAUGAUACCAGUUGGGCGCUUCUUUGUAUUUGAUGAUUUUGUGAGGUGCAUAAUGUUAGAGUUGCAACUGUUGCGGUAACAAACAAUAUACAGAGUAUCCCAUGCUGCUGCGAGUGAAUUAGGGUUAUCAAAUAAUCGUGCGCUUUACAAAAGAAAUCUGUUUCUUACUCAUGAAAAUGGCAGGCAGUGAAUGUCAAGGCCAUGAGGCCAUAUCUGUAAGAUAAAGCUUUGUUUUAUUUGUUAUGGUUUUGCAGCUUGUUUCAGGUAUUGACUGCUUAACCUUGACUAGUGGUUUGCUGGUGUUGUGUUCAGACCAGCUAUGUCCGCUGUGCUCAAACAUUUCCAUAAGGACAUAUCAGUCAUUUGUUAUGUUUUUGUAUAUUUAUUGAAUAAAACCAGAGACCAUAUUGGUCUCUUAUAAUACUCAA
rnacentral:lncRNA from 1 species